CGUAGCGGGUGCACACACGAUGUGUGUUCUUCUCUUUGCUUGUCUCGUUCAAUGCGAUUCGGUGGGCGUUAUGUUGACAGGCUGUUAAAUGCAAAUCAGAUUAGAAGCAGCGGUUGUGUAUUGAAGGGAUAAGGGUAACAAAAGCAUUUGAUUAAGGCUGUUGGCAUUGGAAUUCCUCAGACAAAGAACAAAUCUCGCCUACCAUUUCAUUUCACACUUCAUAUCAAAAACGCGCUGUGCUGUUUGCGACGUCACUUAUCAGCACGUUCGAUGCCGUCAGGGUGUGAUACCGGGUAGGUCGUUGAUUGGUCCGCGGAUACAUGUUUUGAGUCUGUGACUGAAAUGCUAUAAAAACGCGAUAUUCGAGCCUGCGGAUCAGACGAGCAGGUCGAGACGACGAGGAACACAUCAUUCGUCGCAACGAUACCAGCCGAGCAGCCGCCAUGACUUCUUUUAGCUUCAUCUUCAUUGUGUCCGUAUUCGCUUCUGUCUUGAUCAGCAAAACUUCAGGUGUGUGCAUCCCUGUAGAAUACUGCGAGGAUGAUUGCUUCGUGGGAAGAGAUAUCUUGGGAUGCACGGUAUGCGUUUGUGCCCCAUGUGCUCAUUGCUACAGCGGCUGCUACAUUCCUUCUCCCGGCUGUCCCAGAUGUGCUUCCUCUCUUCGGUGCUACUCGUUGCUUGGAAGGUUCUUUUAAGUUGGAAUGACGCACUAUAUGCUUUUAGCCAAUAAAGGCAGAUACGGGAA